CUUUCUCGUCAGGCCCGACGCAGGCCAAUUAGUGUAGUGUAAUUGUUUAACGGAGGCAGUGCGCUGUGCUGGGUGGGAGAGUGAACUCGCAGCGAGGGCGGCUGAGAUGAUAGAGCGGAAACUGGCCUUGGCCUGGCGCAAGGGCCUGCAGGACUCACCACCACGAAGCCACGUUUGGGAAGCGCCAGGUCCCCCUGAUGCCUGGCAGCCCCGAUUCCUCGCUCUCUGUCAUUGCUAUCGCGGUGGGAUCAAUUUCCGGAGCUAAUUCCUCAACUCCGCCAUGCCCAAAGCUCUGUGCAGCAUUAUCUCCUUCCUAGGAUGCCCCCUGAAAGCAAAACCUACUGCAACCAUAGAAACCAGAGGACUUAACUGAUGUGUCAUGUACGUGUGCAGGCUCUGUUUUCAGUACCUUUGCCAAGAACACAAUGUGAGAGCCUGUAAGAAGGUUUAUUUCAUUCUUUCAUCCCAUAUAUCUGUAAAGAUAGACAGAAUCAGCCGCAAAAAAACAAUGAAUACUUGCUUCUUUUUCUGAUGUUAUGCAGAGCCUCCAGAAGAACAGUGCUAUUACUGUUAUGACUGGUGAUGCAGACACAAAAGGUAGCUGGACUGGUUUAAUAGGGAGCCAAAUGCUGCGAGCGGCUUUCUCAGGGAGGGUGGAAUUCACUGUCUGCGGUAAACAAGCCUCCUAUAGGCUUCCCAUUGUGCGUGUAGUGUCAGGCGGCUGGAGCAAAAGACGUUUCCACAACUGCUAUCCUUUUAGCUGAAUGUGGCCAUACAGUAGGUGGCCAAAUCUGUUUGGCUUUCACCGUGAUCUGUGAAUUCCCUGCAUCCAACCAACUUGUCAAAUUAAAACCUUUCCUGCUCUGCACUGAGGAACAGACGUGCUAUGGAAGCUUCUUGCACUCUAGCCCUUUGUCACCAGCACGCUGAGCUUCCAACAUCUGCUCACUGGACUCAGCUUUUGCACCUUGUUCAUUUAUAAUGCAGCAAACCUCAGCAUCCUCGGCGCAGGGUCUAAUGUGCCUCGGAUUUAAAAAAGAAAACGGGAUAAAAGAAUGUCGAGCAGGGAGAGGAAGAGAAAUUGAGGCUCUAAUGUCUGAAUUACUCACCAAUUUGGGAAUAAAUAUUUUUUUAAGUGGGGGUUUUGUUGGAUU
rnacentral:lncRNA from 1 species